UACGUAGGGGGCAAGCGUUGUCCGGAAUUAUUGGGCGUAAAGCGCGUGUAGGCGGUCCGCUAAGUCGGCUGUGAAAGUCCAGGGCUCAACCCUGGGAUGCCGGUCGAUACUGGCGGACUAGAGUCCGGAAGAGGCGAGUGGAAUUCCCGGUGUAGCGGUGAAGUGCGCAGAUAUCGGGAGGAACACCAAUGGCGAAGGCAGCUCGCUGGGACGGUACUGACGCUGAGGCGCGAAAGCUAGGGGAGCGAACAGG
rnacentral:rRNA from 1 species